GUGCCAGCAGCCGCGGUAAUACCGGCAGCCCGAGUGAUGGCCGAUCUUAUUGGGCCUAAAGCGUCCGUAGCUGGCUGCGCAAGUCCGUCGGGAAAUCCACCUGCUCAACAGGUGGGCGUCCGGUGGAAACUGUGUGGCUUGGGACCGGAAGGCGCGACGGGUACGUCCGGGGUAGGAGUGAAAUCCUGUAAUCCUGGACGGACCGCCGAUGGCGAAAGCACGUCGAGAAAACGGAUCCGACAGUGAGGGACGAAAGCCAGGGUCUCCAACCGGAUUAGAAACCCUAGUAGUCC
rnacentral:rRNA from 1 species